ACGCACGCUGGCGGCAGGCCUAACACAUGCAAGUCGAGCGCCCUUUCGGGGGAGCGGCGGACGGGUGAGUAACGCGUGGGAAUAUGCCCUUCUCUACGGAAUAGCCUCGGGAAACUGAGAGUAAUACCGUAUACGCCCUGUGGGGGAAAGAUUUAUCGGGGAAGGAUUAGCCCGCGUUGGAUUAGGUAGUUGGUGGGGUAAUGGCCUACCAAGCCGACGAUCCAUAGCUGGUUUGAGAGGAUGAUCAGCCACACUGGGACUGAGACACGGCCCAGACUCCUACGGGAGGCAGCAGUGGGGAAUCUUAGACAAUGGGGGCAACCCUGAUCGAGCCAUGCCGCGUGAGUGAUGAAGGCCUUAGGGUUGUAAAGCUCUUUCAGCUGGGAAGAUAAUGACGGUACCAGCAGAAGAAGCCCCGGCUAACUCCGUG
rnacentral:rRNA from 1 species